rnacentral:lncRNA from 1 species
AGGUGUCCUCUGUCCCAGAGACCAUGGGCAAAUCUGUUCAGGAAGAGAGGCCGGAAUUCAUUAGCAAGAAGAUGUUAUAAACGAAGUCUUCUUAACUGUGCCUGAGAUGUUCAGGCCCAAAGCAGCCCUUCAGCUGUGAUAAUCAAAGAUGCCUUCGUCAUUUAUAUCCAACUUAUGGGUCUUAUGAAGCUGCAUACAGCCUUGCUCAGGUAUGAAAACAUACAGUCAUAAAUUUAAUUAAAACACA